rnacentral:rRNA from 1 species
UACAGAGGUCCCAAGCGUGUUCGGAUUCACUGGGCGUAAAGGGCUCGUAGGCGGCCAACUAAGUCGGAUGUGAAAUCCCCAGGCUUAACCUGGGAACUGCAUCCGAUACUGGAUGGCUUGAAUCCGGGAGAGGGAUGCAGAAUUCCAGGUGUAGCGGUGAAAUGCGUAGAUAUCUGGAGGAAUACCGGUGGCGAAGGCGGCAUCCUGGACCGGCAUUGACGCUGGAUGAGCGAAAGCUAGGGGAGCAACGGG